UGGGGAAUAUUGCACAAUGGGCGCAAGCCUGAUGCAGCCAUGCCACGUGUGUGAAGAAGGCCUUCGGGUUGUAAAGCAACUUUCAGCGAGGAGGAAGGUGGUGAACUUAAUACGUUCAUCAAUUGACGUUACUCGCAGAAGAAGCACCGGCUAACUCCGUGCCAGCAGCCGCGGUAAUACGGAGGGUGCAAGCGUUAAUCGGAAUUACUGGGCGUAAAGCGCACGCAGGCGGUUUGUUAAGUCAGAUGUGAAAUCCCCGGGCUCAACCUGGGAACUGCAUUUGAAAACUGGCAAGCUAGAGUCUCGUAGAGGGGGGUAGAAUUCCAGGUGUAGCGGUGAAAUGCGUAGAGAUCUGGAGGAAUACCGGUGGCGAAGGCGGCCCCCUGGACGAAGACUGACGCUCAGGUGCGAAAAGCGUGGGGAGCAAAACAGGAUUAGAUACCCCUGGUAGUCCACGCUGUAAAACGAUGUCGAUUUUGGAGGUUGUGCCCUUGAGGCGUGGCUUCCGGAGCUAACG
rnacentral:rRNA from 1 species